UCUGUCCUUCCUACUCGCUCAUCAUGUUCUUUGCAUAUCUCAUACGACUUACUCUCACCAAGGCCGUCUGAACCUCCGGCUCCAGGAGUCUGUGUGAAGACCACAGAUAAAGGGCCUGCUGCCCUCAGGGGGGGGCAGACAGACGCAGAACCGGCCGUGUGAGACACCUUCCCGUAACAUCUUCAUUCUGUCUUAAUAAACUGCUUAAGCUUAAGGAACCUGCCUCAUCAUUCAACCAAAAGAAUCUGAGGUUUCACUAAAGAAAUCUAUCAGUUGGGGUUAUGAACAGGAUCGGUGAGAGACAAGGCCGAGAGACUAAUUAAUGCUGGAUGACUGAAGACAAUUAAGCGUGCAAAUCAACUGAGGUUUCCGACGUGUGGGAAGAUCCCAUUGACGGAGGUCACACUCUGGUACCUGGUGAGUGGGUACUAAUCAAGACACCCCAGAAAGAACCGCUUGGGGCUAAGUGGGACCUCCGUCUAAUACAGCUCAGAUAUUGCAUCUGAGCACCUGUGGCAUGGCAGAGAGACAGACCAAUGUCUACAAGUCAGACAGCAUGCAUGCUGACAGACUGCACGAAGUGCCAGCACAUCGCCACGGCGACCGUUCCCGCACCU